rnacentral:rRNA from 1 species
CCUACGGGAGGCAGCAGUGGGGAAUAUUGGGCAAUGGGCGCAAGCCUGACCCAGCAACGCCGCGUGAAGGAAGAAGGCUUUCGGGUUGUAAACUUCUUUUGUCAGGGACGAAGCAAGUGACGGUACCUGACGAAUAAGCCACGGCUAAUUACGUCCCAGCAGCCGCGGUAAUACGUGGGUGGAAAGCGUUAUCCGCAUUUACUGGGGUGAAAGGGCGUGUAGGCGGGGCAGCAAGUCAGAUGUGAAACCCACGGGCGCAACCUGUGGCCUGCAUUUGAAACUUGUUUUCUUGGGUGCUGGAGAGGCGAACGGAAUUCCGGGUGGUGCGGUGGAAUGCGUAGAUAUACGGAGGAACACCAGUGGCGAAGGCGGAUUGCUGGACAGUAACUGACGCUGAGGCGCGAAAGCGUGGGGAGCAAACAGGAUUAGAUACCCUUGUAGUC